rnacentral:lncRNA from 1 species
CAACACAGCACCUUCACUGUAAACAUUGUCUCCGUUUUUGCAUCACUUCAAUCGAGAACAAAGAUUUUUUAUUAUAUAAAAAUAUAAAAUUAAAAAAAAUAAAACAAUCAAAGGAAGAAAUAAAACCAAAAACAAUCACAUUCUAUUUUCAUUUCGUAGAGGGUCUAUUCAUACAAACAACCCACCCUUCGUGAUCUUGCAGCAAAAUGGACUCACUUAUCACUGGAGUGGUUAUUUGCAAGGUUACACUGAAAAAAAUUCCUCAUGUUUUGAGUAAGCGAAAGGGUGUUCGGUGACCAGGGUGGCAACGCAUUCAAUUGUCAACACUACUUCCACAACGUUGAGAGAAAAGGUGCGAAGCGUGAGCAAAAGAGUGAUGGAUUAUUCGGUAACUGACACACAGUCGGAGCACACGUUGUUCACGAUAAAGUCACGGUAAUUGCAGAAAUCGUCAUUCAUACUCCAUAGUUGGAGAGAGAGAGAGAGAGAGAGAAUCUGAGCAUGGUCCAUGGCAUCGUCGUAAUAUGUGGCUACAAUCACUUUAAAGAACGAUGUGAUGGUUUUCCAGGGGUCACAAACACACUGUGCAUCCCAACUAUGGAGAACAAAAAACACACAUAUUGGUUACGUUUCCAAAAGUGGGCUUGAAGCUGGGCUCGAUGAAGAGGAUUUCACACCA